AUACUUUUAAUUAAAUUUAAAAUUUAAAUUUAAAUUCAAAUUUUAAAUUAUUUUAAAAAUAAAGUUUAGUAAAAAUAUUAAUAUAUGCAAACAUCAAAAUUUUUUUGCCAAACAACUUUAGAAAAUCACUUCAGAAAAAUUACUUUUUUUCUAAAUUCAACCAAACGCUCUACAGUUUUUCACAAAAAUUAAUUCUCCAAACCAAAAUUAUUUUUACAAAAAUCGCUUCUCCAGAAGCUAGGCCAAACAGGUCAUUAUUCUAAAAUUCAGAAUCAAGUUUUACAAAAAAUGGUAGCUCUAUUAAGAAAAAAAUUAUUUUUGGCUCUAAAAUUACUUUUUAAAUG
rnacentral:lncRNA from 1 species